rnacentral:lncRNA from 1 species
CCUGCUAGCGGUCAGGGACUUGGGUUCGAAUCCUAAUGAGAGGAAUGAAACAUCGAGCCCCACUGAUUUUCAAAGUAUAGUUAAUGAUUAACAAACAAUUACUGGCUGCAAUUUCCUAGACUAUAUUAUCGAAAUGCAACUACAGAUCCAACUGUCUAUAUUAAGUACUUAACGGCACAUUCAAGCAAUUAUCAAUUCUAAGAUAAGCUACUGCAACUUCAAACCCAGUUCAGCUAUUUUUCCUGAUUUUUAUAGAGGUGAUUUACACAGAAAUAAUAUAACACCUAACUAAAGAUAAUGAUUAACUAAUACUAAAAUACAAGUUCGAAUUUCCAGUUUAGAAUUCUACACAGUCCAUGAUCAUCCUCAAUGAUCUAAUAUCAUCCCUAAGUACAAACUCCAUAAUUAAAAUCAGUAACAGAGUUUAACUAGACGACUGAAAGGAAUUUCGACAUAACAAACUACGUAAUCAUAUAUCAGAAAAAAAUCGAAUUGAGAAAUGCUCUGCACAUUCUAUUGCUAAUGGGAGUUUCCCUUUCAAUCAGGAUAUUACAUUAAAGCACUUGAAUGUGUACCUGGAAAUUGAAUUAAAAUAAGAAGAGAUGAGGGUCGGUAGCAGAUCAAGCAGUUAACAGAGAACAUAGCAGCAGCAAUUUUAACCCAGGAAUGUGUAGCAGAGGUACAACAUCAAAACGACUCUGAAAUAACUCGAUUGAGACAAAAACCCACUCGAAAUCAGUCAUAAGAUAUUUCUGAAGCUUCAAUCACCAGAAACUAACCAAAAAUAGCUAGAAAUAACCUCUACACAACUUGAAAUUUAACAUAGGAUCAAACUUGCCUUGCGAUCAGUCUAAAAUCUCAAUGUAACAGUAGAUGUUUUGGGGUUUUGUUGUUUUUGUUGUUAAUAUUUUUUACUUCUAAGAGAAGUUUUUGAAUUUGCAAUUCAAAAUUUGGGGUGAUGAAUACUUGUGAGAGUGUGGCGAAAUUUUAGGCCUCCAAACUUGAGUGUUAAGGCACAUUUGAUGCCCUUUUAUAGGCAACAAAAAGGGGUAAAUCAGAUUUUUGAUUUCUUUUUUAGUUUCUUUCUAUUUUCGGCUUGGUCCCUUAUUUUUGACUUGUUUCCCAAGCUAGUGCCCUAAGUUUAUUGAAUUCUACACUAAAAUCAUAUUCUAGAAGGCCCUAGGGUAUUCUUCCACCUAUACAAUACUUAUACUACCCUUUUUAUCGUUUUGAAAUUAGUGAUUUUAAUAUAACUAGCCUUUUACAUAUCUAAACUGCCCCUGACUUACCCCUGAAAUUACUAACCCACCCAAACCCCUUUAUUAGAGUUAAAAACUAACUGUAAUUAUCCAUAUCAGCUAUAACCAAUCCACAAACCUAGUUAAAAUGAAUAAAACUAAGCUUAAGACUAAUAAAAUUAUUAACUCAAUAAAAAAAAUUUAAGUUUCAAGGAAUAAAACUCAUAUAUGAGUCAAAAUCAGAACAAAAUUAAAACUAACAAAGAUCAGAAAUAAGAAAUUCAAUAAAUUCAAUUUUUAAAUAAAACAGGCAUGCAAUCAACACUUAACAAAUUCUAAUCCGUCAAUCAAACUUUAAUAAAACAAAUCAAAAUUUUAAAUGAUCAGAAAGCAAAUAAAACCCCUAAUUAAAUCGACGAUUCAACUUAGAAUUAACAAAUAAACAAACAAACAAACAACGGAAAUUAACCUAAGAACUAAACAUUUGACACUUAAUAGUAAUAACCCAAAAACAGAUUAAUGCUAAACUGGACUCUUAAUUAUUAAAAUAAAUUUUAUUUGUUAAGUAGAAGCAAACGAAAGAGAAUCACAAAAAGAAAAGAAAAACUCACUGUUAUAAUCUAAUUUUUCCUUUGAUUUAAACUCCGGAUACCUCUGGUGAUAUUUGAACAUCGCUGAUGGUGAUUUCGUCAUGAGGGAGAUGAAAUGCUGACAUAGUAUCAACUUGAAGCGGUUUUGGGAAAAUAAGGGUUUUUCCUAAAUCUUUGAAUUAAGAUUCGACAGGCCUGGGGAUAAUUCGACGAAAAAGAAGGUCAGAUACGGACAGAGGAGGAGGAGGACAUAGGGUGUCAGUUUGGUGGUGAUUGGGGACGGCGCCGCCGUGGGCGGCGGAGACAGCGGUGACAAAAUCCAACAUUCGAGACUUUUGGUGAUGAUGUAGAGAAAUCCAAGGAUGGAUUUGGAGUGAGGAGGUGAAGGAGGGUUAGUGGUAUAAUAUUGGGGCAAUUUGGAGCAUCGCCACCAGUGGAGGCGAUUUUCGGCCGGCGGGGGUGAGUCUCUGAUGAAUGAGGUGAGGGAUAAGGACGGGGAGCUAGCUGAUCCGACCAUUUUAUACCCCAAACCUAGGCAGUUCCACCCAUUGGAUCGAAACACAUCAAUG